GAUCCUGGCUCAGGAUGAACGCUAGCGACAGGCUUAACACAUGCAAGUCGAGGGGCAGCACAGGGUAGCAAUACUUGGGUGGCGACCGGCGCACGGGGUGAGUAACGCGUAUGCAACUUACCUAUCAGAGGGGGAUAGGCCCGGCGAAAGUCGGAUUAAUACCCCAUGAAACCAGGGGGUCCCGCAUGGGAAUAUUUGUUAAAGAUUCAUCGCUGAUAGAUAGGCAUGCGUUCCAUUAGGG
rnacentral:rRNA from 1 species